rnacentral:rRNA from 1 species
UGGGAAUAUUGCACAAUGGGCGGAAGCCUGAUGCAGCAACGCCGCGUGAGUGAUGAAGGCCUUCGGGUUGUAAAGCUCUGUCUUUUGGGACGAUAAUGACGGUACCAAAGGAGGAAGCCACGGCUAACUACGUGCCAGCAGCCGCGGUAAUACGUAGGUGGCAAGCGUUGUCCGGAUUUACGGGCGUAAAGGAUGCGUAGGCGGAUUUUUAAGUGAGAUGUGAAAUACCCGGGCUUAACUUGGGUGCUGCAUUUCAAACUGGGAAUCUAGAGUGCGGGAGAGGAGAAUGGAAUUCCUAGUGUAGCGGUGAAAAUGCGUAGAGAUUAGGAAGAACACCAGUGGCGAAGGCGAUUCUCUGGACCGUAACUGACGCUGAGGCAUGAAAAGCGUGGGUAGAAAAACAGGAUUAGAUACCCUGGUAGUCCACGCCGUAAACGAUGAGUACUAGGUGUAGGAGGUAUCGACCCCUUCUGUGCCGCAGUUAACACAAUAAGUACUCCGCCUGGGAAGUACGAUCGCAAGAUUAAAACUUAAAUGAAUUGACGGGGUCAUAGCUGUUUCCU